CUGCAUCAGGCCAGUCAGACGUAGCAAGAUGGUCUCUCAGGUUCACUUUAUCUGGCUGUUAGUGCUCUGGAUCCAGGACUCCAGUGGGCAGAUUGUGCUGACUCAGACUCCAGAAUCCCUGGCAGUGUCUCCUGGAGACACAGUCACUAUCCGCUGCAAAGCCAGUUCAAGCCUCACCAGUGGUAGCUAUCACUACUUAGCCUGGUACCAACAGAAAUCAGGACAAGCUCCGAAGCGCCUUAUCUAUGGUGGAAGCUCCCUGCAAUCUGGGGUCCCAGCCCGAUUCAGCGGCAGCGGGUCUGGCACUGAUUUCACUCUCACAAUCAGUAAGGUUGAAGCUGAAGAUGCUGGAGAUGAUUACUGUCAGCAGAGUAACAGCUACCCUCUCACAGUGAUAGAGACCAAUACAAAAACCUCCCCAUCCUGUUCCUCUCAGGGUAACAGCUGCUUCCUAUCCAUGGAGUAA